rnacentral:rRNA from 1 species
AGCAGCCGCGGUAAUUCCAGCUCCAAUAGCGUAUAUUAAAGUUGUUGCAGUUAAAAAGCUCGUAGUUGAAUUUCGGGAUUGACGUGAUGGUCGUGCCUUACGGGGUAUGAACUGUUGCUGUUGAUUUCUCACCUUCUGGAGAAACUUGAUGUCCUUAAUUGGGUGUCUUGCGGAUCCAGGACCUUUACCUUGAAAAAUUAGAGUGUUUAAAGCAGGCAUUUUGCUCGAAUACAUUAGCAUGGAAUAAUAGAAUAGGACGGCAUGGUUCUAUUUUGUUGGUUUCUAGGAUCACCGUAAUGAUUAAUAGGGAUAGUUGGGGGCAUUAGUAUUCAAUUGUCAGAGGUGAAAUUCUUGGAUUUAUUGAAGACUAACUACUGCGAAAGCAUUUGCCAAGGAUGUUUUCAUUAAUCAAGAACGAAAGCUAGGGGAUCGAAGACGAUCAGAUACCGUCGUAGUCUUAACCAUAAACUAUGCCGA